rnacentral:rRNA from 1 species
CCUACGGGAGGCAGCAGUGAGGAAUAUUGCGCAAUGGGGGCAACCCUGACGCAGCAACGCCGCGUGAGUGAGGAAGGUUUUCGGAUUGUAAAGCUCUGUCGAGCGGAAAGAAAUGCAUGAUGGCUAAUAUCCAUCAUGCUUGACGGUACCGCUAAAGGAAGCACCGGCUAACUCCGUGCCAGCAGCCGCGGUAAUACGGGGGGUGCAAGCGUUGUUCGGAAUCAUUGGGCGUAAAGAGCGUGUAGGCGGCUAGACAAGUCAGAUGUGAAAUCCCUGGGCUUAACCCAGGAAGUGCAUUUGAAACUGUCCUGCUUGAGUAAGGGAGAGGAAAGUGGAAUUCCUGGUGUAGAGGUGAAAUUCGUAGAUAUCAGGAGGAACACCGGUGGCGAAGGCGACUUUCUGGCCCUAUACUGACGCUGAGACGCGAAAGCGUGGGUAGCAAACAGGAUUAGAUACCCUGGUAGUCCACGCUGUAAACGAUGUUCACUAGGUGUUGGGGGUAUUGACCCUUUCAGUGCCGCAGCUAACGCAUUAAGUGAACCGCCUGGGGAGUACGGUCGCAAGAUUAAAACUCAAAUGAAUUGACGG